rnacentral:rRNA from 1 species
GACGAACGCUGGCGGCGUGCUUAACACAUGCAAGUCGAACGGGUCUGCCCUGUUUUUUGCGGGGCGGGUCAGUGGCGAACGGGUGAGUAACACGUGAGUAACCUGCCCCUCACUUCUGGAUAACCGCUUGAAAGGGUGGCUAAUACGGGGUGUUCUGGCUGUGCCGCAUGGUGUGGCUGGGAAAGAUUCACUUUUGUGGUGUUUUGGUGGGGGAUGGGCUCGCGGCCUAUCAGCUUGUUGGUGGGGUGAUGGCCUGCCAAGGCUUUGACGGGUAGCCGGCCUGAGAGGGUGGGCGGUCACACUGGGACUGAGAUACGGCCCAGACUCCUGCGGGAGGCAGCAGUGGGGGGUAUUGCACAAUGGGCGGAAGCCUGAUGCAGCGACGUCGCGUGAGGGAUGGAGGCCUGCGGGUUGUGAACCUCUUUCGCCGGUGAAGAAGGUCCUGCUCUUUGUGGUGGGGUUGACGGUAGCCGGGUUAUGAAGCGCCGGCUAACUACGUG